AAUAAAAGUCGAAAUUUAAAUGGUGUAUGCGCUGUACUUUAUAAGUAACAAGCAAACAACAUGGAAAGCAACAGAGUUCACAGAUUUUGUUAUAUAGGCGUAUCGACGCGUUGUAGGAGUGUUCAUUCAAAAGUCUGGAUCUUUCUCAAAUUCUCUUGCAAGUUGUAGGCGAUAUCUUUGUUUCCGCUAUUAUAAGAAUGCUUAACACAGAUACGACACGGUUGCGCAUAAGGGCAAAUGAAUAUGCAGACAUGCUUAGAUGCCUUCUGAAUUUGAACCUGGCCAAGAAUUUAUAUACUUUCAUUACCUUAUGCUUGAAGCUUACUUCCGUGCAUUGUAAUGGCGUUAAAAAAAAUAAACUCUGGCUCCCAUUAAAAUUGAGUAGGCCAAUUUUCUUCCAUUGUUUUAUUGUGAAAACAUUUUAACAAAAUAUCGAAUAUCGUAUGUUCGAAUGUCGUACCAUAAAAUUAGGUCCUUCUCGUCUCUUGCAAAUGAACAUGAUGCAUCCAUCUACCGUAUCUAUAGAUAAAUGGAUUAUUCAUCUAUAGAGAGUGAAAUAAGACUUAAAACUUAUUGACGAAUUCAUGAUUUUUAGAUAGUGCUAGCCUUCGCAUGUUAGGUUCCAAAAUAUCAAGACAUUCUGAGCAUUAAUUUAUAAAUUCCGGUUGUUUUAGCGACGCUGUACACAUCUUUCCGAUGUUUCACAAAAACAAAAGUAUCUGUAACUGCGUGCAAACAAAUGAUCGGAAUGUCAAGAAAUUGAGACACAUAUCGUUUGAAGCUUGGAACGAUUUCAAAAUCAUAUGCGAAUAAUGGUAAUAUUCACAUGUCACCCUACAAACAUAUUAAAUGAUGUGUUAUACGAUAAAGCAACACUUAAUCGCCACUUUAGAGGAUUGGAGACUGCAAGAGAGGGACGCACGAGGAGAUACAGAGUUUUUCAAAUUUUUGCUGCACGGACACUCUCCAGACGGUUACAACUAAAGGAAAUAGAUAUGCUUUAACUCAUAUAAGAACAAACGGACUAGCGAAACUUACUUACCGGACGGGCUGAUCGUACCCCCUCGAAUAUUCUUUCCCUACCUUACCCACGAUCCUUGUAAUAAUUGUUUGGUUUUUACGUCUUACCAAAGCCACGGUACAACCUAGAGCACCACAUUUUCAAUAUUUUGAAAG